CCAGCUUCCUUUGCCACAAGGCUUAGAUCAAGUGUAGUAUCUGUUCUUUUCAGUUUUAAUCAACUGAAACCCGUCCAAAACAAAUGGACGUCGACGAUUGAAAUCCCAAUUUUUUGCAACACCGAUCCCAGCACGCGGCUGUCGGGCUUGCCCACGCCGUUCCUGGGAUUACCGUGUCUCUGGUACCACACUGCUUCCAGAUGACGCGAAAAAUGA
rnacentral:snRNA from 1 species